rnacentral:rRNA from 1 species
GACGAACGCUGGCGGCGUGCUUAACACAUGCCAGUCGAACGGUGAAGCGCCUUCCUUUUUGGUGGGUGUGGAUGAGUGGCGAACGGGUGAGUAACACGUGAGUAACCUGCCCCCUUCUUCUGGAUAACCGCAUGAAAGUGUGGCUAAUACGGGAUAUUCUGGGUCUGUCGCAUGAUGGGUCUGGGAAAGAUAUUGUUUCGGUGGGGGAUGGGCUCGCGGCCUAUCAGCUUGUUGGUGGGGUGAUGGCCUACCAAGGCGGUGACGGGUAGCCGGCCUGAGAGGGUGGACGGUCACACUGGGACUGAGACACGGCCCAGACUCCUACGGGAGGCAGCAGUGGGGAAUAUUGCGCAAUGGGCGCAAGCCUGAUGCAGCGACGCCGCGUGAGGGAUGGAGGCCUUCGGGUUGUGAACCUCUUUCGCCAGUGAAGCAGGCCUGCCUCGUUUGUGGGUGGGUUGACGGUAGCUGGAUAAGAAGCGCCGGCUAACUACGUG